UCCACUGGAUAUUGCCAUCUCUACUCCUCAACAUAAACUCCAAAACACUUACACUCCUCUCACUCCCUUUCAUCUCUCAACUCUCGUAUCUCCCCCUCUCUUCACGCCCUUCAGCACUGAAAUCAUUUCAAACCACGUUACCUUUCUUUGUAAACGCAUAGCCUUCAAACCAGCGACACCUUCUAAUUUUGGAGAGAGAAAUUGAAAAUUCUAGAAGAGAGAGAAAGAAACCACAAAUUCCAUGGCAGACGAUGAAGAAGUCUCAAAAAAAACAGAGCAACUUAACUAUAAGUAGAAGCUUGAGAUUGCGAAAUGGUUUCUCUUGAAUUCUCCCACCAGCGAAAUACAAUACGUUUUCAAAGAUGUGAAGCUGACUUUGAAGGAUGAUAAUGUGCAUAAUUUGGCUGCUUUGGACGCGUUUCCUCAGUACAAUAAAUCUCAUAUGAUUUGUCUUGAACUUCUUGAUAAAAGUAGUGAUGUAAAUUUCUUUUCGAAAUGUUUUAGCUAUGAACUUUAUUUAUGAUAUUAUGGAUGAAAUAUGUGUUAAUUCA